CCGGAGCGCCAAACGCCGAGCGGAAGAAGCUGUGCUUUCUUUUCCGCGCGGCCACCGAAGGAUGAGGUUGUGUGGGGCAUCGUCGGCCAGGCGGGCCGGGCGGCAGGGUCUGCGGGCCAGUUGCUGGGCUCUUCGAGGUGCAAUAGAGCCUAUGAGGUGAAGAUGAAUGAAGGUUGUCCUGAUGUUUUCCAGAAACUGUUCACAGGAUGGCUCUGAUAAAACCACUAGGAGCACAAGUGCAUGUAAUGAGCAUAUAGGUAGCUGCAGAUGAAUAUUCAAGUGCAAAACUAUCGUGGUUAAAAUUCAUUGCCUCAAAGGCAUGCAAUUGGAAGGAAAAAAGAAGAAUUGGUCAAGAAGACAUGAAUUGAAACAUGAAGAUUAAUAUUUUUAACAUUGAUCACCUCAAUAAAUUAUGUAGAAAAAUA